rnacentral:rRNA from 1 species
AUGAACGCUGGCGGCGUGCCUAAUACAUGCAAGUCGAGCGCACAGAUGAGGAGCUUGCUCCUCUGACGUUAGCGGCGGACGGGUGAGUAACACGUGGAUAACCUACCUAUAAGACUGGGAUAACUUCGGGAAACCGGAGCUAAUACCGGAUAAUAUAUUGAACCGCAUGGUUCAAUAGUGAAAGACGGUUUUGCUGUCACUUAUAGAUGGAUCCGCGCCGCAUUAGCUAGUUGGUAAGGUAACGGCUUACCAAGGCAACGAUGCGUAGCCGACCUGAGAGGGUGAUCGGCCACACUGGAACUGAGACACGGUCCAGACUCCUACGGGAGGCAGCAGUAGGGAAUCUUCCGCAAUGAGCGAAAGCCUGACGGAGCAACGCCGCGUGAGUGAUGAAGGUCUUCGGAUCGUAAAACUCUGUUAUUAGGGAAGAACAAAUGUGUAAGUAACUAUGCACGUCUUGACGGUACCUAAUCAGAAAGCCACGGCUAACUACGUG